AAAUAUAAGAGUACGAGAGUAUCAGGAAACCACCGAUAACUAUAAUUUUUUUUUCACAUAAUUAGUGUUAUAUUUGUCUUUGUUUCGAUCGGCUAGAUUACGCCUCCAAAACCCUUCUCUCUCUUAGCCAUAGUUUAAGACUCUGCCGCUUCUUGAGUUCGGCCAACGUCCGGUGGCUUUUUGCUCCGGCGUUGUGCCUCUUUAGUUUAAUUUUCGUUUCUCUUUUCUUCCUUUGUAGAUCUUCUCUCGGUGGUGUUUUCUGAUUUGGAAUUUUUGUGGCCUUCGUUUGGGGUUUCUUGCUGGUUAUUUCGAUCUGUGAGGUUGUGUUCUCUGUGGAAGCGGUCUAGCGUUUCAGAUCUGUGCGGUUCGUGGUUCCUGCGAGGAGGAUGGUGCCGGAUCUGUUUGAUCGACGGUGAGCUUUGUCUGUAAUAGUGCCAUUGUUUCUUGCUCUUCCCAACCCAGAUCUUGUUCUCGCUCUUGUGCUUUUUGUUGUUUCGAUGCCGCCGGCUUGGCUGAUGUGAGGUCUCUCGUCAGACUUCUUCAUGCCUUUGUCUUUCCGUUGUCACUUCCUUGUGUUGUUUUAGCUAGCAGUCUCUCGUUUGGAUCGUCUCUGUUCUUUGUGGAGGUUUUUGUGUGAAGGAUUGUGCUUUGUUCUAGGUUUUCAAAAUUGUCUUCUCUUUGGUGGAGGACGUUGUGGAUGAUUACCAUUUCGGUCAGAGUGUCGUGCUUAAUUUCAUGAUCCUUGUUCCUCGAGAUGGUUAGGUUUCUCUCCUUGUCUUUGCAUUUCCGAAUCGGGUGUGAUUGGAUUGCUUCUUUAAGACUUUUAUCUAGGCGCUCCAUGACGUAUCGUCUUCGCCGCAUCCGGAAGUAUCUUACGAGGUUCAGUUUUGGCCUUUUUUUGCCGGGUUAUGAAGUCUUGGUUACGUGGUUUCGAGAGCUCAUCUCUCAUCAUGAUAGGAGGAGGCAGUUGUUAUCAAUGGGUUGGCCGUGGGCAGCAUUGGUAAAUCUCUUUCGCAGGUGUCUCAAAAGAAAAGGUCAUGUUUUGUGCUUGGACCUUGUGGUUUCUCUUCGGGUUUAAGUUUGUUUGCCUCUAUUCUUAGUUUAUGGUUUCGAUCUCUUUCGUUUUGGCUUUAAAAUUUCUGCUUUGUACUAGUGGUUGUGUUUCCCUUGCUUAGGGCUUAGUUUCCGGGGAAUUUACGUUUUCCUCCGGCUUAGUUUCUGGGAACUUUUCUGUUGUCCGCCGGCUUAGUUUCCCUUGUUUGGGCUUUGUAUUCGACUUUGGUUCCACCUCAAGUUUCAAUAAUAAUAUUUCAGAUGAUAAAAAAAAAGUACAGUCUCACCGUUUUCUUCUUUAAAAAAAACGUAGUUGGAAGAAAAAGGUAUAAG
rnacentral:lncRNA from 1 species